rnacentral:rRNA from 1 species
UGCGUAGGCGGAUUAAUAAGUCAGUGGUGAAAUCUCUCGGCUCAACCGGGAAACUGCCAUUGAUACUGUUAAUCUUGAGUUCGGUUGAGGUAGGCGGAAUGUGUAAUGUAGCGGUGAAAUGCUUAGAUAUUACACAGAACACCAAUUGCGUAGGCAGCUUACUAGACCGACACUGACGCUGAGGCACGAAAGCGUGGGUAGCGAACAGGAUUAGAACCCUGGUAGUCC